UACGAGGGGGGCAAGCGUUGUUCGGAAUUAUUGGGCGUAAAGGGCGCGUAGGCGGCGCCACAAGUCACUUGUGAAAUCUCUGGGCUCAACUCAGAGCCUGCAAGCGAAACUGUGGUGCUGGAGUAUGGGAGAGGUGCGUGGAAUUCCCGGUGUAGCGGUGAAAUGCGUAGAUAUGUGGAAGAACACCUGUGGCGAAAGCGGUUUUCUAGCUUACCCCUGACGCUGAGGCACGAAAGCUAGGGGAGCAAACAGG
rnacentral:rRNA from 1 species